UACAGCAUAGAUAACCACAGCACCAAGGCAGGUUUUAGCAACUUGUUUUCCAGUAAGGCCACUUCCAACCAAAUCAUGCAUCAAUGUUUCUGCUUCUAUGGAAAACAGAUAAGACAGUACCAACAGAAAUACUAUUCCAAUAAGCGAUAGACCAGUACAAGCCUUAGCUAAAUCGUAAGUCGUUAGAAUAAGAAAUUCACAAAAAAUCGUGCAACCAAUUUUUGUCAUUUCAGCAUGUCCAAGCCCAAGCGUAUUAAGUUGCGUUUACAUACCUAAUCCAGGACUAACCAGAGGCUUCAUCGAGAUGAUUAAUUGUUGCUUUUUGUAAUGCGUUUAGACCUUCAAAAGAGCUACAAUAGCGUCAGUAAUGAGUUGGUUUUUAUCUAUACAGGCUUAAUGAACGCUUGCACCAAGUAGCAAUGUUUGUUCAAGACAAUCUUGAAUAUUGAGUGAGGUUCCGAAUCUCUAUGGACCUUAGAAAACCACGUCACAUAACGUUAUGCU